rnacentral:rRNA from 1 species
CUACGGGCUGCACCAGUGGGGAAUAUUGCACAAUGGGCGCAAGCCUGAUGCAGCAACGCCGUGUGAGUGAUGAAGGUCUUCGGAUUGUAAAACUCUGUCCUAUGGGAAGAAAAAAAUGACGGUACCAUAGGAGGAAGCCCCGGCUAACUACGUGCCAGCAGCCGCGGUAAUACGUAGGGGGCAAGCGUUAUCCGGAAUCACUGGGCGUAAAGGGUGCGUAGGCGGCCUAGCAAGUCAGAGGUGAAAGGCAUUGGCUCAACCAAUGUAAGCCUUUGAAACUGUUAGGCUUGAGUGCAGGAGAGGUAAGUGGAAUUCCUAGUUUAGAGGUGAAAUUCGUAGAUAUUAGGAGGAACACCAGUGGCGAAGGCGACUUACUGGACUGUAACUGACGCUGAGGCACGAAAGCGUGGGGAGCGAACAGGAUUAGAUACCCCCGUAGUC